rnacentral:misc_RNA from 1 species
UCCGGUUUGUCACCGGCAGUCUCCCUAGAGUCCCCGGCAUUACCCGCUGGCAACUAAAAGCAGGGGUUGCGCUCGUUGCGGCACUUAAGCCAACACCUCACGGCACGAGCUGACGACAGCCAUGCAGCACCUGUGCUAGCCCCUUACGGACACCGGCUUUCACCGGCUUUAACUAGCAUGUCAAGCCUAGGUAAGGUUCUUCGCGUUGCAUCGAAUUAAUCCACAUCAUCCACCGCUUGUGCGGGUCCCCGUCAAUUCCUUUGAGUUUUAGCCUUGCGGCCGUACUCCCCAGGCGGGGCGCUUAAUGCGUUAGCUACGGCACGGAUCCCGUGGAAGGAAACCCACACCUAGCGCCCACCGUUUACGGCGUGGACUAC